UACGGAGGAUGCGAGCGUUAUCCGGAUUUAUUGGGUUUAAAGGGUGCGUAGGCGGCUUUUUAAGUCAGCGGUGAAAUUUUGCGGCUCAACCGUAAAAGUGCCUUCGAUACUGGUUUUCUUGAGUGUAGCUGAAGUAGGCGGAAUUUGUGGUGUAGCGGUGAAAUGCAUAGAUAUCACGAGGAACUCCGAUUGCGCAGGCAGCUUACUAAACUACUACUGACGCUCAGGCACGAAGGCGUGGGGAUCAAACAGGAUUAGAUACCCCGGUAGUCCCUGA
rnacentral:rRNA from 1 species